CCUANGGGAGGCAGCAGUGGGGAAUCUUGGACAAUGGGCGCAAGCCUGAUCCAGCCAUGCCGCGUGAGUGAUGAAGGCCCUAGGGUUGUAAAACUCUUUCGUGGGGGACGAUAAUGACGGUACCCCAAGAAGAAGCUCCGGCUAACUUCGUGCCAGCAGCCGCGGUAAUACGAAGGGGGCUAGCGUUGUUCGGAUUUACUGGGCGUAAAGCGCGUGUAGGCGGGCUGGAAAGUUGGGGGUGAAAUCCCGAGGCUCAACCUCGGAACUGCCUCCAAAACUUCCAGCCUGGACUCAAGUAGAGGCAAGUGGAAUUGCGAGUGUAGAGGUGAAAUUCGUAGAUAUUCGCAGGAACACCAGUGGCGAAGGCGACUUGCUGGACUUGUAGUGACGCUGAGACGCGAAAGCGUGGGGAGCAAACAGGAUUAGAUACCCCGNUANUC
rnacentral:rRNA from 1 species